AGUUAAGUGACUAAGCGUACACGGUGGAUGCCUAGGCAAUCAGAGGCGAAGAAGGACGUGCUAAUCUGCGAAAAGCUUGGAUGAGUUGAUAAGAAGCGUUUAAUCCAAGAUGUCCGAAUGGGGAAACCCGAUGGAUGAAGAAUCCAUCAUUUCAUUAUGAAUCCAUAGUAAUGAAAGGCAAACCGGGAGAACUGAAACAUCUAAGUACCCCGAGGAAAAGAAAUCAACCGAGAUUUUGUAAGUAGCGGCGAGCG
rnacentral:rRNA from 1 species